rnacentral:rRNA from 1 species
GACGAACGCUGGCGGCGUGCUUAACACAUGCAAGUCGAACGGAAAGGCCCUGCUUGCAGGGUACUCGAGUGGCGAACGGGUGAGUAACACGUGGGUGAUCUGCCCUGCACUUCGGGAUAAGCCUGGGAAACUGGGUCUAAUACCGGAUAGGAGCCAUUUUUAGUGUGAUGGUUGGAAAGUUUUUUCGGUGUAGGAUGAGCUCGCGGCCUAUCAGCUUGUUGGUGGGGUAAUGGCCUACCAAGGCGGCGACGGGUAGCCGGCCUGAGAGGGUGGACGGCCACAUGGGGCUUGGAUACCGGCCCGGCUCCCACGGGAGGCAGCAGUGGGGAAUAUUGCACAAUGGGCGCAAGCCUGAUGCAGCGACGCCGCGUGGGGGAUGACGGCCUUCGGGUUGUAAACUCCUUUCGCUAGGGACGAAGCUUUUUGUGACGGUACCUAGAUAAGAAGCACCGGCUAACUACGUG